GACAGAGGGUGCAAACGUUGUUCGGAAUUACUGGGCGUAAAGCGUGCGUAGGCGGUUCGUUAAGUCUGCUGUGAAAGCCCUGGGCUCAACCUGGGAACUGCAGUGGAUACUGGCGGACUAGAGUGUGAUAGAGGAUGGUGGAAUUCCCGGUGUAGCGGUGAAAUGCGUAGAGAUCGGGAGGAACACCAGUGGCGAAAGGCGGCCAUCUGGAUCAACACUGACGCUGAGGCACGAAAGCGUGGGGAGCAAACAGG
rnacentral:rRNA from 1 species